CAAACAGAUCUAAUUACAAAGAAAGUGAACAAGGGUCUUUACGUCCUUAGACGAUUAAGAGAUUUUGUUGAUGUAAGGACUCUAGUAACAGUUUACAAAACCUUAAUUCAACCACACUUUGAUUACUGCUCGCAAGUAUGGGGUUGUCUUGGAAUUACCCUUCAAAACCAAUUGCAACGUUUACAAAAUAGAGCAGCACGUAUCAUUACAAAGCGUAGGUACGAAUUUAGAUCAGCCGAUAUACUUAAAGAAUUAGAUUUACCUAAUUUAAGUCUCAGAAGAAAUAAUCAUUUAUGCACUACUAUGUAUCAGGUAAAUAAUAACAUGGUGCCUGAUUACCUAAUUGAUUUAUUCACGAAAACCAGUACACUUCGUAAUCAUCAAACUAGGCAGGCUGAAUUUAACUUUGCACUCCCGAUGCCAAGUACAACUUUUGUAAAAAUCAUUCUCAUACAGAGGAGCUGUAGCUUGGAAUGAUUUAUUACCUAAUAUAAAAAAUAUGGGUUCAUUGUCAACCUUCAAAAUGGCUCUAGUGUCAAUUAGUG